rnacentral:rRNA from 1 species
GACGAACGCUGGCGGCGUGCCUAACACAUGCAAGUGGAGCGACGAACCAGGCUUCGGCCUGGGGCAAAGCCGCGAACGGGUGAGUAACACGUGGGUAACCUGCCCCGAUGAUUGGGACAACCCGAGGAAACUCGGGCUAAUACCGAAUGUGCCCUACGGCCAUAAGGCCGCUGGGGAAAGGAAGCUUCGGCCUCCGCAUCGGGAUGGGCCCGCGGCCCAUUAGCUUGUUGGUGGGGUAAUGGCUCACCAAGGAGACGAUUGGUAGCUGGUCUGAGGGGACGAGCAGCCACACUGGGACUGAGACACGGCCCAGACUCCUACGGGAGGCAGCAGUGGGGAAUCUUGCGCAAUGCGCGAAAGCGUGACGCAGCAACGCCGCGUGGGGGAAGAAGGCCUUCGGGUUGUAAACCCCUUUCAGUUGGGACGAAGCUCCGCCGGUGAAUAGCCGGCUGGAGUGACGGUACCUUCAGAAGAAGCCCCGGCUAACUACGUGCCAGCCGCCGCGGUAACAC